UCCCUGUAGGACCAGUGGUUAGGCCCCGGUGCUCGCACUGCCGCGGCCCGGGCUCGAUUCCUGGCCAGGGAA